GCAAGUCGAGCGACGCUCUUCCUUCGGGGAGAUGACGGAGCGGCGAACGGGUGAGUAACACGUGGGCAACCUGCCCCUAGCUCUGGGACAACACCGGGAAACCGGUGCUAAUACCGGAUAUGACAUUGAGCGGCAUCGCUUGGUGUGGAAAGUUUUUUCGGCUAGGGAUGGGCCCGCGGCCUAUCAGCUUGUUGGUGGGGUAAUGGCCUACCAAGGCGACGACGGGUAGCCGGCCUGAGAGGGCGACC
rnacentral:rRNA from 1 species